AACGAACGCUGGCGGCAGGCCUAACACAUGCAAGUCGAACGCCCUGGCAACAGGGAGUGGCAGACGGGUGAGUAACGCGUGGGAACGUGCCCUUCGGUUCGGAAUAACUCAGGGAAACUUGAGCUAUUACCGAAUACGUUCGAGAGCAGAAAGAUUUAUCGCCGAAGGAUCGGCCCGCGUCCGAUUAGCUAGUUGGUGAGGUAAUGGCUCACCAAGGCGACGAUCGGUAGCUGGUCUGAGAGGAUGAUCAGCCACACUGGGACUGAGACACGGCCCAGACUCCUACGGGAGGCAGCAGUGGGGAAUAUUGGACAAUGGGCGCAAGCCUGAUCCAGCCAUGCCGCGUGAGUGAUGAAGGCCCUAGGGUUGUAAAGCUCUUUCGCCAGGGACGAUAAUGACGGUACCUGGAUAAGAAGCCCCGGCUAACUUCGUGCCAGCAGCCGCAGUAA
rnacentral:rRNA from 1 species